CAGCCGCGUAAUUCCAGCUCCAAUAGCGUAUAUUAAAGUUGUUGCAGUUAAAAAGCUCGUAGUUGAACUUCGGGAUCAAUUAGUUGGUCAUGCCUUGGUAUGUACUGAUUUUAUUGGUUCUCACCUUCUAAAGAACUAUAAUGUCAUUUAUUUGAUGUUAUAGGGAAUUAGGACUGUUACCUUGAAAAAAUUAGAGUGUUUAAAGCAGGCUCACGCUUGAAUACAUUAGCAUGGAAUAAUGAAAUAGGACAUCGCAUUCUAUUUUGUUGGUUUCUAGGAUCGAUGUAAUGAUUAAUAGGGAUAGUUGGGGGCAUUAGUAUUCAAUUGUCAGAGGUGAAAUUCUUGGAUUUAUUGAAGACUAACUACUGCGAAAGCAUUUGCCAAGGAUGUUUUCAUUAAUCAAGAACGAAAGUUAGGGGAUCGAAGACGAGCAGAUACCGUCGUAGUCUUAACCAUAAACUAUGCCGACUAGGGAUCGGAUGAUGUUGAUUUUUUAAUGACUCAUUCGGCACCUUACG
rnacentral:misc_RNA from 1 species